AGUCAUUAAAUUAGAUAAAUUUAUUUAACAUAAAAUCGUUUAUUCUAUACUUACCCGUAUGAGUUUCCAAAAUCGACCUAUGAAGAUAAUAACGUAAAUAAUAUUGUGAUUUCAUAUCCAAGUGAGUAAGAAUAACAACUUUAUAUUUUUACCUAUUUACCCAAUAUCUUUAGGGGUCCAUAGGGGUCCCCUCUAUGCAUGGGUUCAAUAUCCAAGUUAUAGAUUAAUUGGUCAUCCCC
rnacentral:lncRNA from 1 species